CCUUCCGUAGGGUGAACCUGCGGAAGGAUCAUUACU
rnacentral:rRNA from 1 species